rnacentral:rRNA from 1 species
CGCCAGGGUACUACGAGCGUAGCUUAAAACCCAAAGGACUUGGCGGUGUCUCAGACCCACCUAGAGGAGCCUGUUCUAGAACCGAUAAUCCCCGUUAAACCUCACCACUUCUUGUUAAUCCCGCCUAUAUACCGCCGUCGCCAGCUUACCCCAUGAGGGUUUAACAGUAAGCAAAAUGGACUAAACCCCAAAACGUCAGGUCGAGGUGUAGCGCACGAAGUGGGAAGAAAUGGGCUACAUUUUCUACAACAGAAAAUAACGAAUGGUCUACUGAAACACAUACCUGAAGGAGGAUUUAGCAGUAAAAAGCAAAUAGAGAGUCCUUUUGAACCAGGCUCUGAGACACGC